GAAUUUCAUUCGAAUCCUUUUUAUUUAGAAUAUACACUAAAUCCGUAAGCAAAAGCAUUACAAUAUCAAUAAGCCAAUCUCUCAAAAGAGAAACACCAAUUGAUUACACAGUUCAAAUGACACAAGAUGCAAUAUCAUGCAAUUAUUGUAAAGUCAAACGUGUUUUAGUUGUGAAGGAGGAGGAGAUGAUGUGUAAUGAUAACCAUGAAAUUUCAAUGGUAGUGGAGGUGGGUUUUAGUACUAGGGUUGCCCACCAAAGGGAAAUGGAGGAAAUGUGAGUGGACGUAGUCGUGGAAAUGGUGGAAUAAUUAUUUGAAAUGGAGGAGGCGGGGACUGAACUGGAGGUGGUGGAGAUGGAGAAGGUGGUGGAGAUGGCGAUGGAGGAGGGGGGGAGUUUAUUAAAGGUGGUGGAGGAGUACAAUUAGGUGGCGGAGGUGGAGUUCGCAACCAGGGAACUAGUAUUGGAAAAGGGAAUAAAGAUGGUGAGGGAGGAGAUUUAUUAUUGC